rnacentral:lncRNA from 1 species
GAGUGUGAAAACACUGAUAUAAUAUACAAGUAAGAUAUAGGAAUACAUCAUCAUUGAACAAGUAACUCACCUACGGAGAGCUCUACUAUCAAGGACUAUUCGUGAAAAAUAUGGGCAUAAGUAUCCCUCUGACCUGAGAUCACCAUAAUGACUUGCAAGCAACUCACUAUAUUUUGUUAUCGGACUACCUAAAUUUCUAAUUCAGUGAUAGAAGG